rnacentral:misc_RNA from 1 species
GCAAAAAUUCUUCAUCACUAACAUCCACAUCUGCGUGCUCGUCUGUUGAAGCAGCUUCUCGAAACUGAACUCUCGGAAUACCUGUAUUGCUCAGAGCUGCCUUGAUUGCAGCACCUAGAGCAUCCAGCAGAUUUCCGUCCGAGCUAAUGACAAGGCAGUCGACAUACAGAUCCCAGCAUACUUUUCCCUCUUUGAUCAAGAGAGACGCCGGAUCAAUUCCAG